rnacentral:misc_RNA from 1 species
UGGAGGCGGGUGCGGUGGCGGUGCAGGACCAGCGCGGCGGCGGUGCCCAGAAUCAUCGCCGCCACACUGGCGGCAAGCGCCACCCUAACGGAGUUGCCGAGGGCCGCCAGAAUGUCCGCCCGCUCGGUGAGCCGCUCAUACCAGCGGGUGCUGAACCCGCCCCAGCGCGAGGAAAACCGCGCGGCGUUGAAGGAAUUCAUCACCAGAAAGCCGAUCGGCAGAUAGAAAAAUCCCAGCACGAGGCACAGGGCGAUGAAAGGCAAUCGGCUCGGGCGCACGGCGGUCAGAGGUUGGCUUUGGGUUCGGGUUCCACCGCGGCGGGAUCUUUCCGGCGCAGCAACAGCGGGGCCAACACCAGCAGCGUGAGCGCGCCGGACAACGCGGCGGCUUCCGGCAGGUUGCGGUCGUUGAAAUUCCGCUGCGCGAUCUUGUUGCCCAACAUCUGGGUGCCGGUGCCGCCGACCAUGUCCGGCACGACGUAGGACCCGAGCAUGGGGAUGAACACGACCAACAGCGCGGUGACCAGUCCCUGCCGGAUGCCGGGAAUGAACACCGCCACAAAGGCCCGCAGCGGCCGCGCCCCCAGGUCGCGGGCGGCAUCCAACAAGUGAAAAUCGAAUUUCUCCGCCGCCGCGAACAGCGGCAGGAUCGCGAACGGCAGAUAGGUGUAAACACUCACCACCACCACCGCCG